rnacentral:rRNA from 1 species
UAGGGAAUCUUCCGCAAUGGGCGAAAGCCUGACGGAGCAACGCCGCGUGAGUGAUGAAGGUUUUCGGAUCGUAAAGCUCUGUUGCCAGGGAAGAACGCUGUGGAGAGUAACUGCUCUACAGGUGACGGUACCUGAGAAGAAAGCCCCGGCUAACUACGUGCCAGCAGCCGCGGUAAUACGUAGGGGGCAAGCGUUGUCCGGAAUUAUUGGGCGUAAAGCGCGCGCAGGCGGUUCAUUAAGUUUGGUGUUUAAGGCCAGGGCUCAACCCUGGUUCGCACUGAAAACUGGUGGACUUGAGUGCAGAAGAGGAAAGUGGAAUUCCACGUGUAGCGGUGAAAUGCGUAGAGAUGUGGAGGAACACCAGUGGCGAAGGCGACUUUCUGGGCUGUAACUGACGCUGAGGCGCGAAAGCGUGGGGAGCAAACAGG